rnacentral:tRNA from 1 species
ACCUGGCUGGCUCUAUCAGUGGAACAUGUGACUCUUAAUCUCAGGGUUGUGGGCUCGAGGCCCACGCUGGGUG